rnacentral:rRNA from 1 species
UGGAGAGUUUGAUCCUGGCUCAGAUUGAACGCUGGCGGCAGGCUUAACACAUGCAAGUCGAGCGGUAGCACAGGGGAGCUUGCUCCCYGGGUGACGAGCGGCGGACGGGUGAGUAAUGUCUGGGAAACUGCCUGAUGGAGGGGGAUAACUACUGGAAACGGUAGCUAAUACCGCAUAACGUCGCAAGACCAAAGAGGGGGACCUUCGGGCCUCUUGCCAUCAGAUGUGCCCAGAUGGGAUUAGCUAGUAGGUGGGGUAAUGGCUCACCUAGGCGACGAUCCCUAGCUGGUCUGAGAGGAUGACCAGCCACACUGGAACUGAGACACGGUCCAGACUCCUACGGGAGGCAGCAGUGGGGAAUAUUGCACAAUGGGCGCAAGCCUGAUGCAGCCAUGCCGCGUGUGUGAAGAAGGCCUUCGGGUUGUAAAGCACUUUCAGCGAGGAGGAAGGUGGUGAACUUAAUACGUUCAUCAAUUGACGUUACUCGCAGAAGAAGCACCGGCUAACUCCGUGCCAGCAGCCGCGGUA